UAGAUACUUCCUAAGUCCGAAAAUAUUUGUCAUCAAAAUGGACAAAAAAAAUGUAUCUAGAACUACAAUAUAUCUAAAUACAUCUUUAUUUAUUUAUUUUGAUGACAAGUAUUUUCGGACGGAGGAAGUAGAAA
rfam:Triticum aestivum genome assembly, contig: Triticum_aestivum_CS42_TGACv1_scaffold_031368_1BL